rnacentral:ncRNA from 2 species
AAAUACGAUAAAAAAAUAGGUGCUGAAGUCUUUUAAAAAGACUUCCAGCUUAAUAGGGAAGUUGGUAGAAGCCAACGCGGUCCCGCCACUGUAAAUGAGAGCAGCCUAUAACAUGUCACUGUCGAUAAGAUGGGAAGACAUAGACUGCGAUGAUCAUGAGCCAGGAAACCUGCCUGUUUUUGACACCAACA